rnacentral:tRNA from 1 species
GUCUGGGUAGCCAAGUGGUAAGGCGUUGGUCUGCAAAACCAAAAAUCGUGGGUUCGAUUCCCACCCUGGACUCCA